rnacentral:lncRNA from 1 species
ACAGUGAGCUCCCCUCUGCCCCUCAUCAAUCGCUAAUCAGGGUAAUUCUCGCACAGGUUUACCUACAGAGCAAUCUGAUGAAGGUAUUUCCUCAACUGAAGUUCCUGCUUCUUAGACGGCCCGACCUGAUGUCAAGCUGACUGGAAACUAACACAGCUUUCUACCAGACCAUCAAAGAAUUCCUCCUUCAGAAGGGUGAGAUGACUGUAGCAUUUGCCGUGCUGACAUAAAACUAGCCAGCAUGGCUAUGAAUUCAUUCUACAUUUAUGGAGACUAUAAAAAAACAAAAAGAGGACAGACUGCCUCAGCUACACAUUUCAACAACAGCUACCCAACUUACUCAGCUGACUGGAUGGUGAAUGGCAGGCAAACAUUGGUAGCGCUUUCCCAACUCUGACUCAGUCUCCCUCAUUUCCUCUACUGUCGCUGGUGGUGACUUCACAAGGCGGUCUCUCCUUGGGGACUGCCACUCAUUUCCUAAGAUGUCUCGAUUCAUGCUGGGGUCUGCCAACUGAGGAAGGAAAAGGAGAACUGACACUUGGCCUGCAAGCCCAACCUACAGGGACUGCUGCCCACUGAGACUACCCUGUAACGUGAGACCUACCUCCCUCCUCCCAGCACUGAACUCACAAGAUGCUUGCAUUCACUGGUUUGAUACAUGG